rnacentral:rRNA from 30 species
AGAGUUUGAUCAUGGCUCAGAUUGAACGCUGGCGGCAGGCCUAACACAUGCAAGUCGAACGGUAACAGGAAGCAGCUUGCUGCUUUGCUGACGAGUGGCGGACGGGUGAGUAAUGUCUGGGAAACUGCCUGAUGGAGGGGGAUAACUACUGGAAACGGUAGCUAAUACCGCAUAAUGUCGCAAGACCAAAGAGGGGGACCUUCGGGCCUCUUGCCAUCGGAUGUGCCCAGAUGGGAUUAGCUAGUAGGUGGGGUAAAGGCUCACCUAGGCGACGAUCCCUAGCUGGUCUGAGAGGAUGACCAGCCACACUGGAACUGAGACACGGUCCAGACUCCUACGGGAGGCAGCAGUGGGGAAUAUUGCACAAUGGGCGCAAGCCUGAUGCAGCCAUGCCGCGUGUAUGAAGAAGGCCUUCGGGUUGUAAAGUACUUUCAGCGGGGAGGAAGGGAGUAAAGUUAAUACCUUUGCUCAUUGACGUUACCCGCAGAAGAAGCACCGGCUAACUCCGUGCCAGCAGCCGCGGUAAUACGGAGGGUGCAAGCGUUAAUCGGAAUUACUGGGCGUAAAGCGCACGCAGGCGGUUUGUUAAGUCAGAUGUGAAAUCCCCGGGCUCAACCUGGGAACUGCAUCUGAUACUGGCAAGCUUGAGUCUCGUAGAGGGGGGUAGAAUUCCAGGUGUAGCGGUGAAAUGCGUAGAGAUCUGGAGGAAUACCGGUGGCGAAGGCGGCCCCCUGGACGAAGACUGACGCUCAGGUGCGAAAGCGUGGGGAGCAAACAGGAUUAGAUACCCUGGUAGUCCACGCCGUAAACGAUGUCGACUUGGAGGUUGUGCCCUUGAGGCGUGGCUUCCGGAGCUAACGCGUUAAGUCGACCGCCUGGGGAGUACGGCCGCAAGGUUAAAACUCAAAUGAAUUGACGGGGGCCCGCACAAGCGGUGGAGCAUGUGGUUUAAUUCGAUGCAACGCGAAGAACCUUACCUGGUCUUGACAUCCACGGAAGUUUUCAGAGAUGAGAAUGUGCCUUCGGGAACCGUGAGACAGGUGCUGCAUGGCUGUCGUCAGCUCGUGUUGUGAAAUGUUGGGUUAAGUCCCGCAACGAGCGCAACCCUUAUCCUUUGUUGCCAGCGGUCCGGCCGGGAACUCAAAGGAGACUGCCAGUGAUAAACUGGAGGAAGGUGGGGAUGACGUCAAGUCAUCAUGGCCCUUACGACCAGGGCUACACACGUGCUACAAUGGCGCAUACAAAGAGAAGCGACCUCGCGAGAGCAAGCGGACCUCAUAAAGUGCGUCGUAGUCCGGAUUGGAGUCUGCAACUCGACUCCAUGAAGUCGGAAUCGCUAGUAAUCGUGGAUCAGAAUGCCACGGUGAAUACGUUCCCGGGCCUUGUACACACCGCCCGUCACACCAUGGGAGUGGGUUGCAAAAGAAGUAGGUAGCUUAACCUUCGGGAGGGCGCUUACCACUUUGUGAUUCAUGACUGGGGUGAAGUCGUAACAAGGUAACCGUAGGGGAACCUGCGGUUGGAUCACCU